CUAUUACUCCCUCCGUUCCGAAUUACUUGUCUUAGAUUUGUCUAGAUACGGAGGUAUCUAGCACUAAAAUGAGUCUAGAUACAUCCGUAUCUAGACAAAUCCAAGACAAGUAAUUCGGAACGGAGGGAGUACAUG
rfam:Triticum aestivum genome assembly, contig: Triticum_aestivum_CS42_TGACv1_scaffold_393569_5AS